rnacentral:rRNA from 1 species
GACGAACGCUGGCGGCGUGCUUAACACAUGCAAGUCGAGCGGUAAGGCCCUUUCGGGGGUACACGAGCGGCGAACGGGUGAGCAACACGUGGGUGACCUGCCCUCAGCUCUGGGAUAAGCCUGGGAAACCGGGUCUAAUACUGGAUAUGACUCCAUGACGCAUGUUGUGGGGUGGAAAGCCUUGUGCGGCUGAGGAUGGGCCCGCGGCCUAUCAGCUUGUUGGUGGGGUGAUGGCCUACCAAGGCGACGACGGGUAGCCGGCCUGAGAGGGCGACCGGCCACACUGGGACUGAGACACGGCCCAGACUCCUACGGGAGGCAGCAGUGGGGAAUCUUGCGCAAUGGGCGAAAGCCUGACGCAGCGACGCCGCGUGAGGGAUGACGGCCUGG